rnacentral:lncRNA from 1 species
ACAGAGGCAGCACUCAAGCUCUGAUUCUCACUGUUGCCCAGCGUCAGUUGUUUAGCAGACAUGAUUUAGAUUGCUACAACCCGUUUGUCACAUCUCAAAUAUGAACAUCACCCAGAGGUUACCCAGGUGAUCCCAGGCCAUCUCGGUGUUAUCUAUUACCUGACUGUUUACUAACUGUUUGUUUUCCAGGAUGUCCUCCACAUUCCACAAUUCAGUAGCCAAAGGAUUGAACUGAUACCUGCAGAAGACUUCCUGGAUUCCCUCUCCAAGACCCACAAUCCACUAUGAUUGGAUAAGGCCUACCCUCUAAUUGAUCAGUACUACACACACACACACACACACACACACACACACUCACUCACCAAGGCUUGGUUUCCUUUUCUAAAAAACAAAAGAGGGUAAAGGAAUGCCCUCCCAAGUCUCUUUCUAAAAUUUUCAAGUUCUACAGGCUCAGUAGGCAUCCAGCCUCUCAGCACUACCCUAUGUCCCCUAUGCCCACGUAGAUAAACUUGUUUUAAUAAAAGCUAACUUCCGAUUUAGCACACAGUAUUAAGAAUUAAAGUUGGAUGAAGCUAUUACUGUUACGAAUAGCCUUGGGCUAUUUUUCAAUUCACCUAUGUCAUACGUCAAGUGAUUAAGAAAAUCAAAUGCUGUAUCCAGGAAAAUAGAACAUGAAAAGGCAGGAAUAAUGUGUGUCUUUAGGACACCCAUUUGAACACAAAAGAAUUAGGGCCCAAAUUUCACUAUAUGUCAAAUGUGAAUUUAUUUCUAUAAAAGGCUUCAGAACUCUCUAAGCUUUGCAUUGUCUGAAGAGUGCUACAGAGCCAUCUGUGACUUGUAGUGGUUGCAUCCAGAUCUUUGAAAAUGCUUUUUCUUCUUAAUCAAGUUAGGAUAUUGGAUUUCCAGAAGAGUAGGAUCUCUAUAUUUUGAUACUCGCCUGAUUUCUUAAAGCUCCUAAAGGUGCCUUUUGACUUCCUAACUGAUUCUAACAAACACAUGGCUUCAGUCUAUCUGGCUUCCCCUUUGUCUAAGAACACUGACAUUAGGAGUUGCCAAUUGGCACCUCUAUGUGGACACCUUCCACCCAGAAACCAUGUUGAGUUUUCAGGUUUCACAAUGAUGCUGAUUUGAGUCAGCACUGUUGGAAAUGAGGGUCUUUUUAAAAAUGCUUCAGAUUCCCAGUUAUUCCUACCUUUGUCUCUUCAGUCCUCAACAUCCUCUGGGGCAAAACUAGAGAGCUGCACUGUUUCUGUGUGAGGUGAACCUGCGUCCACAGAGGAGCAGCACUCACGUUCCCCACUCAAGACCUGUGUAAUUUAUUUGUAGCAAAGCUCCAUCCUUAAUUCACUAUUAUCUUGUCUUUCUGGCAUCCUCCUUCCCUCUGUGCUAUGCAUGUUGGGGUCGGUGAGGGGAGCAAUGACCCAGAGAGGGGCAUCUUUUGCAUGGCAAAGUCCUUUGGAUGAGCUGAGGAUUCCCAUCUUGACUGAAGUUUUCCAGUUUUUAAAUCUCAUCUUUCAUUUUGUGAUGCUUGAUAAAGAUAGCAAAGUAAUAUGAGUUAGUAAAUGUUAACACGUGCCGCAAAUACAAAAGCAGUUUAUUCUGUCAUUGAUAAUGGAGGAAAAUAUGCAAUAAUAGUAUUGAAUUUGCACUCAUAGGUAAAAGCCUUCAUUGCAAAGCAAAAUCUGAUUUUUGUUUGUGACCAGCAUGAAUGCUGACCUCUGCCCUUUGAAUGAUCUUUCCGUCUCCCGGAAAGUUCAUGAAAAGGUCAUGGAGCUGCGCUGACUUCCUCUGUGUGUGCAUGGACGUGUCUUUGCUAUUGAUCCAGGAAAAGACCAUUCUGUGGUUUUGUUCAUUUUAUUUUUAAUGGAAACCUAAUCAGUAAUUAUAAAAUGUUUCUAGAAGAAUUCACGCCUGAGUAAGUGAAGAAAGCUAACCUCAUUUCAUGCUGAUUAUUUAACCUUGGUCAUAACUCCCAAUUAAAUGCAUUUCUUGAACCCGUAACAAAGCAAAAUAUGGCACUUACUGGUCAGAAAUU